rnacentral:rRNA from 1 species
GAUGAACGCUGGCGGCGUGCCUAAUACAUGCAAGUCGAGCGAACGGACGAGGAGCUUGCUCCUCUGACGUUAGCGGCGGACGGGUGAGUAACACGUGGAUAACCUACCUAUAAGACUGGGAUAACUUCGGGAAACCGGAGCUAAUACCGGAUAAUAUAUUGAACCGCAUGGUUCAAUAGUGAAAGACGGUUUUGCUGUCACUUAUAGAUGGAUCCGCGCUGCAUUAGCUAGUUGGUAAGGUAACGGCUUACCAAGGCAACGAUGCGUAGCCGACCUGAGAGGGUGAUCGGCCACACUGGAACUGAGACACGGUCCAGACUCCUACGGGAGGCAGCAGUAGGGAAUCUUCCGCAAUGGGCGAAAGCCUGACGGAGCAACGCCGCGUGAGUGAUGAAGGUCUUCGGAUCGUAAAGCUCUGUUAUUAGGGAAGAACAUAUGUGUAAGUAACUAUGCACGUCUUGACGGUACCUAAUCAGAAAGCCACGGCUAACUACGUG